UGGAAAAUGACUGACAAUAUGGAGCAGUACAGGAAAGACCUCAUUAAUUUUUUAAUAGUGAUGUGAAUGACCUGGAAGACCCACUGUCCUUCAACACUGGAGCAAAAUCACUAAGUCCAGGAUUUUCCUGCAACUGCACCAAGACCUUUGCCACCUCUUCAGCCCUCAGGGCAAUAGCUUGCAUGCCAGAAAACACAUCUGAGUCUCAUUCAUGCUUUAUCAGUAUCUGUUACUUCCAACACAAUUUGCUGACCAUCAGUGACUGUGACUUGUAUACAACCACUUUCUGAAAAAAAUCUAUUGAUCCUUAU
rnacentral:lncRNA from 1 species